UACCGAGGGUGCGAGCGUUAAUCGGAAUUACUGGGCGUAGAGCGUGCGUAGACGGUUAUUUAAGUCGGGUGUGAAAGCCCCGGGCUCAACCUGGGAAUUGCAUUCGAGACUGAAUAGCUAGGGUACGGUAGAGGGAAGUGGAAUUUCCGGUGUAGCGGUGAAAUGCGUAGAUAUCGGAAGGAACAUCAGUGGCGAAAGCGACUUCCUGGACCAGUACCGACGUUCAGGCACGAAAGCGUGGGGAGCAAACGGG
rnacentral:rRNA from 1 species